rnacentral:misc_RNA from 1 species
UGAAGCAUCAGCCUUGUUGAAGCGCCUGGUGUCGUCAGCGCCUUUACGACCCCACCACCAUCUCCCAGGUGUGCGUGUGCUUGGCAUGCAGUGUAGGGUCAUACUACACAUGAGGCGAGCCACAGCGGCAUCCGCGGUGCUUCUCCCUCUUGUGUCGUUGCGCAGUCACCGAGGUCGCUCCUAUAGCUCGCCAGGGUACACUGUCUACACCAACAGUGCACCUGAUCCGCGAUCACCAGGGCUGCUGCCUGGCUCGGCGGCACCUCUCCACCACAUUCCGUCAGAGGACACGUCCUACGGCGGCGGCAGCCGUGCGUCCACACACGCGGACGACAGCGGCGAGCCGCGCGAUGGAGAGGGCCUCACAGAGGUGGACCUCAACCCACCGCAGAUGCCCUCACCGCAGCAGUACGAAAAUUAUGGUGAGUACCUCAACGCCUAUGACCAGUACCUGAAAGACAUCACGCAGUUCUUGGCAUCGGCGCGUGCCUUUCUGCAGAAGCAGCUGCGUCACCUCCGCCACGCACACGCCGGCCUCGCCGAGGCGGUGCGCCGGGAGUAUUUCUGGACGUUUAUUCCCUUUAUCUGCGCCCUCUGUGUGCAUGUGGUAGACUCGCAGCAUCACGUGAACGCCCGAAUCACCCGCGAGCGUCUGAAGCAGCGGGCCAAGGAGCAUGUGAAGAGCGUCAAGUGGGUUUCCGUGUAAGUGCCUUGUUGCUUUGUGUAUGCGGAUGCGGGAGAUGACCUCCCUGCGUGAAUUGUCGCCUGCUGGUCUCUCCUCCCACGACACCU